AUGAUGUCUCUUACCGAUCUACCACGAUCAUUUUGGGGUUAUGCAUUAGAGACAGCUGCAUUCAUGUUAAAUAGGGCACCAUCUAAAUCUGUUGAGACGACACCGUGUGAACUAUGGUUUGGCAAGAAACCUAAGCUGUCGUUUCUUAAAGUUUGGAGUUGCGAUGCUUAUGUGAAAAAGUUUCAUCUCGAUAAGAUCAAACUCAAAUCGGAGAAAUGUGUCUUCAUAGGAUAUCCAAAGGAAACUAUUGGAUACACCUUCUAUCAUAGAUCCGAAGGCAAGACUUUUGUUGCUAAAUUCAGAAGCUUUCUAGAGAAGGAGUUUCUCUCGAAAUAA
rnacentral:rRNA from 1 species